UCAUAGAAGAAUCAUGAUAUUAUAUGUUGUUGUGCCUCUAAAUUAGUAGGCCUGACGUCGUUUAUUGUAUCUACAGAAUGGCCCUAACUCAUUGGACAUAUCGGGAGAUCCUUACAAGAGGAAUAUCGCUGGAUCCAGAUUGGACAAGUUGGGAAUUCACAAGACGCCAACAUUCCAUUGCUAUCUAAAAGGGGAAAGGGUAGAUGAGGUUUCCAAUGCUUCUAUCAAACACUUGAAAAUGUCUACAAUCCAUCCUGGAUGAAGAAAAGGAGAAGACAAGGUAAGAAAGAUGAGAAUAAUGGAGGAUUUGUUGCGGUACUUCCAAGUGUGUUUCCUGAAACAUCGUUUCUUGAGAUGAGGGCCGAACUUGGACAAGUAAUUUUUUAUUUUGAUGAUGAGGAAAAGAUGACAGAUGAUGAGGAUAAGAUGCCAGAUGAUGAGGACAAGAGGGCAAAGGACAAGAUGUUGUGGUUUGCGAAAGGGUUGUUUUCAAGUAAAAAGAAGAGAGAGAUGUUUUGUAAAUUGAAAGAUCCUGAAGCCAAGCGCGAAUGGCUUAAGAGUGAAAUGGCUAAGGAAUGAACUGGAAGUACUUGUGUCAUGGUACAUGUUACGUUGUUUGACUCUGUCUGUGGUUUAGACUUGUGUGGUGCUGGAUUAAGAUAUCCUUUUUUUUUUUGUUUUAUAGCCACUUCUAGCAUCAAUAUUAUUAAGAUAUCCUUUGUUUUUCGAAUUAUUAAGAUAUCCUAAUUCAUCAAAUUUGGAGAAGGCUUAAAUGUCAA